GAUAAACGCUAGCGGCAGGCUUAACACAUGCAAGUCGAGGGGCAGCAUAGAUUGUAGCAAUACAAUUGGUGGCGACCGGCGCACGGGUGCGUAACGCGUAUGCAACCUACCCGUCACAGGGGGAUAAUCCGGAGAAAUCUGGUCUAAUACCCCAUAACAUAUGGAUCGGCAUCGGUUCAUGUUGAAAUUUUCGGAGGUGACGGAUGGGCAUGCGUAGCAUUAGCUUGUUGGUGAGGUAACGGCUCACCAAGGCGACGAUGCUUAGGGGGACUGAGAGGUGUUCCCCCCACACUGGUACUGAGACACGGACCAGAAUCCUACGGGAGGCAGCAGUGAGGAAUAUUGGCCAAUGGUCGCAAGCCUGAACCAGCCAUGCCGCGUGCAGGAUGACGGCUCUAUGAGUUGUAAACUGCUUUUGUACGAGGGUAAAGUGGGUUACGUGUAACCUUUUGAAAGUAUCGUACGAAUAAGGAUCGGCUAACUCCGUGCCAGCCGCCGCCGUAA
rnacentral:rRNA from 1 species